rnacentral:rRNA from 1 species
UCCGAGUGUUUUCUGCUAAAGAAAUCUUUUGUUAGUUCUAAAACCACUAUCGAAUAAGGGGUGGGCAAGUUCUGGUGUCAGCCGCCGCGGUAAAACCAGCACCUCAAGUGGUCAGGAGGAUUAUUGGGCCUAAAGCAUCCGUAGCCGGCUAUGUUAGUUUUCGGUUAAAUCCAUGUGCCCAACAUAUGGGCUGUCGAGAAUACUGCAUAGCUAGGGAGUGGGAGAGGUAGACGGUACUCGGUAGGAAGGGGUAAAAUCCUUUGAUCUAUCGAUGACCACCAGUGGCGAAGGCGGUCUACCAGAACACGUCCGACGGUGAGGGAUGAAAGCUGGGGGAGCAAACCGGAUUAGAUACCCGGGUAGUCCCAGCUGUAAACUAUGCAAACUCAGUGAUGCAUUGGCUUGUGGCCAGUGCAGUGCCGCAGAGAAGUCGUUAAGUUUGCCGCCUGGGAAGUACGUACGCAAGUAUGAAACUUAAAGGAAUUGGCGGGGGAGCACCACAAGGGGUGAAGCCUGCGGUUCAAUUGGAGUCAACGCCAGAAAUCUUACCCGGAGAGACAGCAGAAUGAAGGUCAAGCUGAAGACUUUACCAGACAAGCUGAGAAGUGGUGCAUG